CAGAAAUCAUUGUAUUAAGCAUAUUGAAAUGCAUCUUGCUGUUUUUCAAACUCAAGGCCAUGUAUAAGUAAUAAUUCUUUUAUAUCAGUAAAUGAAUCUGGAAAGACCCCAACUUUUCAGUGGCCACAGUCUUUAAUCUGUUGUGAUUUUUCCUGGCAGUGCUCAACAGCUGGGAGCUGACCUAUGGAAAAUGGCCAACUCUUCUCAGUUCACAGUGUCCUAAUACCCUUCAUCUCCUGCUGACUGCACGGCAAUUCUCAGGGAGGAGCAUGGAUUGUGUUCAUGUAUAAAGAAACACUGUUGAUGUGCAGAGGAAUGUGGAUGUGAUAGUUUCCAGCCUCUGGCAGACAGGGUCUUGCUAUUCGUCCAGGCUGGAGCAUCGCCUUACCAAAGGCUUGGAUUCCUGGGCUCAAGAAAUCCUACCACCUCAGACUCUAGAGUAGCUGGGACUACAGGUAUGCACCACCACACCCAGCUAAUUUUUUGUAUUUUUUUUUAUAGAAACAGGGUCUCCCCGUGUUGUUCGAGCUGGUCUCAUUCAGGCGAUCCAGGGCACAAGUGAUCCUCUCACCUCACCCUCCUAGGCUCUUGCCCUAUUUUCUUGUUUAAGCUUGUAAAUACUGUAGUAUCCUUUAUCUCCCACCCAUUGCCCAUACAGCAAUCUAGGAGCAUAUUCUGUUCUCUUUCUCUUUCCCUUGUCCCAUUUUGAGUUGCACAAAGCUCGUUCUCUAGUACAGUGAUGAGAAAACAUUUUAUUUUUUGCAAGGGGCCAGAUAGUAAAUAUGUUCGGUUCUGCAGGCAGGCAAUCUCUGCCACAGCUCUAUCAUUGUAGAGUAUAAGCAGCCAUAGACAAUAUGUAAACAAAUGGGUAUGGCUGUCUUCCAAUGAAACUUUAUUUGCAAAAACAGGCGGUGGGUUAGAUUUGGCCUCUAGGCUAAAACCCUAUCUUAGAGUAGCAGCAGAUAACAAGGCAGAAGAAAAUCAUGCAGGGGGUGAGAGAAAACUGGCAUGAGAGCUAGGGGAAUAUUGACAAAAGAGGAGCCCUUUAAAUCUUCCAGGGAUUUAAAGAAAAAAGGAAAUUCUUUACUGUUACUCAAUAAUUUACCUGCUCGGUAGGAGGAAAGAUGUCUCUUCCAUUUCAGGGUUGGCUCAGCAUCUGUCCUGCUGGGUCCUGUGGAUCCUGCUGGCCGAUGCCACAGUGUGGUCAGCUGAAAGUGAUUUGCUCAUCCUGAAACAGCAGGUAGAGAAAGCGCUCUUUCAGUGCCAUGGCAACCAGAUCCUGGUUUUCUAGAAAAGGAUCAGAUCAGUGAGUGUGUUCCUCCAGGCAUUGAUCCAUUAAUGUGCACUGAGUUUAUUUCAGAGCCAGGCCCUGGGCUUGGGAUACAAAGAUGCAUAAGGCCAAGUCCUUGUUCUUAAGGAGCUCACAGACUGGAGGAAGAGGAGGUAGACGUCCACAGUAAAUAGUGUAAUCACAUGUGAGCAAAGGAAGGGCCACACAAAGGGCUGGGGAGCAUCUCUUCCUCUUAGGGAGUGAGAAACUGACCUGGAGACCUGAGGUUGAGCUGAAUUUUGGAGCAUCAGUUAGAAUUGGUCAAGAGGACAAACUGGGAUGGGUCAGGGAAAAUGGAGAAGCUUGAGAGCUGUGGUAGCUCCGUGGAAUGGCAAGAAUAGCCAGAGGAUGGCAUCUCCAGGGUGCUGGGGACAGCUGUGGAGAGACACCAAG
ensembl:lncRNA